AAAUGUAAAAUCUACCAGUUGGUGGGUGAUGGGAGUGCUUUCCUUCUUAAUUAUAUGUAUCAUUCUCUCUUGCUUGGCUUCAUCAGCCCUCCUCUCUUCUCUCUAUAAAUCUGCCGACCCUGCCCAGUUGUUAUUCCCCCCCUUUCUCUUCUUCUCAGCCUUGGAGAUUGAAAACAACUCCAAAAGAAAUAGUUAAGUAAUAGGUACCCAGAACAGUUAGUGAUGUUGCAUGUGCUCUGGAAUCAGUGUGGUUGCUUUAUAUGAUAAAAACUGCACAACCCACCGCCCAUUACAAUCCGACUUCUAUGUAUAAAAGCUGCCUCCUCUCUUUUCUCAGGCCUCUCCCUCAUUUUUCACUGAAUCCUUCUCAGUUUGAGAGAAUAAUCAAUGGGUGAAGAAGCUAAGGAACAAGCUCCAGCUGAAGUUAAACCAGAGGCAGAGGAGAAGAAGGAGGAAAAAGCAGAGGAGAAGAAAGAAGAAAAACCAGAAGAGCAGAAGGAGGAACCUAAGCCACCAUUACCAUUUGUCUUGUUUGUAGAUUUGCAUUGUGUGGGAUGUGCCAAGAAGAUAGAGAGGUCCCUCAUGAAAAUAAGAGCUCUCUCUCUCUCUCUCUCUCUCUUUCUUCCUGUCCACGUGAAUAUAGCUCACUCACAGCUCUCUCACAGCUCUCUCAUUACCUGAUUCUUUGUCAUUGUUGUCAUCAUUUACAGGAGUCAAGGAGGUUAUGAUUGAUAUGGCUCAAAACCAGGUGACUAUAAAGGGAAUAGUUGAACCACAAGCUGUGUGCAAUAGGAUAAUGAAGAAAACCAAGAGAAGAGCUAAAGUCUUAUCCCCUCUGCCUGAAGCUGAGGGAGAACCCAUGCCAGAAGUUGUUAGUUCACAGGUUAGUGGAUUAACAACUGUGGAACUCAAUGUGAACAUGCACUGUGAGGCCUGUGCUGCCCAACUCC